rnacentral:rRNA from 1 species
GACGAACGCUGGCGGCGUGCUUAACACAUGCAAGUCGAACGAUGAAGCCAGAGCUUGCUCUGGUGGAUUAGUGGCGAGCGGGUGAGUAACACGUGAGUAACCUGCCUCGAACUCUGGGAUAACUGCUGGAAACGGUAGCUAAUACUGGAUACGACCAACGAGGGCAUCUUCUGUUGGUGGAAAGAAUUUCGGUUCGAGAUGGACUCGCGGCCUAUCAGCUUGUUGGUGAGGUAAUGGCUCACCAAGGCGACGACGGGUAGCCGGCCUGAGAGGGUGAUCGGCCACACUGGGACUGAGACACGGCCCAGACUCCUACGGGAGGCAG